GCCGGGUGUGGUGGCUUGUGCCUGUAGUCCCAGCUACUUGGGAGGCUGAGAUGGGAGGAUCACUUGAGCCCAGGAGUUUGAGGCUGCAGUGAACUGUGAUUGUGCCACUGCACUCUAGCUUGGGCAAAAAAGCAAGACCCUGUCUCAA
rnacentral:sRNA from 1 species